rnacentral:rRNA from 1 species
UACGUAGGUGGCAAGCGUUGUCCGGAAUUAUUGGGCGUAAAGCGCGCGCAGGCGGUCCCUUAAGUCUGAUGUGAAAGCCCACGGCUCAACCGUGGAGGGUCAUUGGAAACUGGGGGACUUGAGUACAGAAGAGGAAAGCGGAAUUCCACGUGUAGCGGUGAAAUGCGUAGAGAUUUGGAGGAACACCAGUGGCGAAGGCGGCUUUCUGGUCUGUAACUGACGCUGAGGCGCGAAAGCGUGGGGAGCAAACAGG